rnacentral:rRNA from 1 species
UACGUAGGGGGCGAGCGUUGUCCGGAGUUACUGGGCGUAAAGCGCACGCAGGCGGUCUGCUAAGUUUGGAGUGACAGUUGGUGGCUUAACUGCCAAAGUGCUUCGAAAACUGACAGACUUGAGGGCUUCAGAGGGACACGGAAUUCCGGGUGGAGUGGUGAAAUGCGUAGAGAUCCGGAGGAACACCAAAGGCGAAGGCAGUGUCCUGGGGAGUACCUGACGCUCAGGUGACGAAAGCCAAGGGAGCGAACGGG